rnacentral:rRNA from 1 species
UACGUAGGGGGCAAGCGUUGUCCGGAUUUAUUGGGCGUAAAGAGCGUGUAGGCGGCCCGGUAAGUCCGCUGUGAAAGUCCAGGGCUCAACCCUGGGAUGCCGGUGGAUACUGUCGGGCUCGAGUCCGGAAGAGGAGUGUGGAAUUCCGUGGUGUAGCGGUGAAAUGCGCAGAUAUCAGGAGGAACACCAAUGGCGAAGGCAGCACUCUGGGACGUGACUGA